UGUUGAUUUUCUAUUCAAAUAUUCGUUGACAAUGCCUGCAGACGGAAAAAUAAGGUAGAGAAACAGCAGGAAAUAAUGGGCAUCCCCAACGCCACACAAGAAUGAGAGGAUGAAUUCUUCUUAUUGCCUUAAAAAUCAACCAGGUAGAAAAUUCCAAAACGCAUAUAUAUGGGGAUGGCAAAAGAAAUCAAUAAAUAAAAUGACCUAAUAAACCACCGAU
rnacentral:misc_RNA from 1 species